rnacentral:rRNA from 1 species
UGUUGGGGUAACGGCCCACCAAGCCUUUGAUCGGUACGGGUUGUGGGAGCAAGAGCCCGGAGAUGGAUUCUGAGACAUGAAUCCAGGCCCUACGGGGCGCAGCAGGCGCGAAAACUUUACAAUGCGAGCAAUCGUGAUAAGGAAACCCUGAGUGCCUGUUAUCGCAGGCUGUUCUGGUGUCUAACACACACCAGGAGAAAGGGCGGGGCAAGACCGGUGCCAGCCGCCGCGGUAAUACCGGCUGCUCGAGUGAUAGCCACUUUUACUGGGCUUAAAGCGUUCGUAGCUUGGUCGUUAAGUCUCUGGGGAAAUCUUUUGGCUCAACCAAAAGGCGUCUCAGGGAAACUGGCGACCUAGGAACCGGGAGAGGUAAGACGUACUUCGGGGGUAGGAGUGAAAUCUUGUAAUCCCCGAGGGACGACCGAUGGCGAAGGCAUCUUACCAGAACGGCUUCGACAGUGAGGGACGAAAGCUGGGGGAGCAAACCGGAUUAGAU